rnacentral:rRNA from 1 species
UACGAAGGGUGCAAGCGUUACUCGGAAUUACUGGGCGUAAAGCGUGCGUAGGUGGUCUGUUAAGUCUGAUGUGAAAGCCCUGGGCUCAACCUGGGAAUUGCAUUGGAUACUGGCAGGCUAGAGUGCGGUAGAGGAUGGCGGAAUUCCCGGUGUAGCAGUGAAAUGCGUAGAUAUCAGGAGGAACACCGGUGGUGUAGACGGCUCACUGGACCAUAACUGACGCUGAGACACGAAAGCGUGGGUAGCAAACAGG